rnacentral:lncRNA from 1 species
GCUACUAGCCUUGGGGACAGAAGCUGAAGUGCAUUGGUGAACUCUUGGUGAUAAAAGAAGAUGCCUUAAACUUGCUUCUCUUCCUCGGGGGUCUCUUGGCUGAUCCUGCGCCUUGCAAUUCCAAAAAGUUUUACAAACAUCUGCUGAAAAUGUGCAUUGAUGUGUAGAGAUUUCAUGGUUGAGUUCUGAAUAUUUUUAACGUACAUUUUAAGGACCAGGCUAGCAGGCUGGAGCACAGGCCAAGGAGGAAGAGUAGCAGUUCAAGUCCAAAGCAGUCUCUAGGGAGAAUUCCCUCUUCUUUGAGGCAGAUUGGGCUUUUUCUUAAGGCCUUCAGCUAAUUAGGUGAAGGAGCUCAGCCAGAGUAUGACU